UCAUGACUAAUGAUUCAAAUUCAAGUCUAAAAUUAAAAAAAAAAAAUACAAAUUAAAUCACUAUUCCAGGCUAUACCUACAUAUAAUUUAUAAAACCACAUACAUGUAAAUAAAUAUGUGUGUUGAGGGGAGUUUCCAAAACAUGGUGCACCCAUUGUAUCCCAUACACAAAUUUACAUAUUCUGAUUGUCUUAACAGUUUGGUUGAUACCAUGUACUAAUUGAUUCAGCUAAUCAGAAUAUAUAAAUACAUAGAACACAGUGCAUGAUGUAAUGGAACGUCCACUUUAGGCUUUCAUUGAUA